rnacentral:misc_RNA from 1 species
AAGUCGUAACAAGGUUUCCGUAGGUGAACCUGCGGAAGGAUCAUUAAUGAUGUUUAUUUUUCUAUGUUGGGAAAUUGUCUGCUGUUGUGGGGAUAUUUUUGUCCCCGCGCUAGUCAACGUGAUCUUUAUUCUAGUCUGACUUUUAUGUAAAUAAUAAAAGACAACUUUUAGCAACGGAUCUCUUGGCUCUC